rnacentral:rRNA from 1 species
UACAGAGGGGGCAAGCGUUAUCCGGAAUUAUUGGGCGUAAAGAGCUCGUAGGCGGUUUGUCGCGUCUGCCGUGAAAGUCCGGGGCUCAACUCCGGAUCUGCGGUGGGUACGGGCAGACUAGGUGAUGUAGGGGAGACUGGAAUUCCUGGUGUAGCGGUGAAAUGCGCAGAUAUCAGGAGGAACACCGGUGGCGAAGGCGGGUCUCUGGGCAACUACUGACGCUGAGGAGCGAAAGCGUGGGGAGCGAACAGG